GCAGCACAGGUAGAGCUCUGGGCCAAUGGGAACCAAGGAGCUCCUUGGAUGGCGGGAGCUCCUCUCCUGACGGCAAAUGAUGGCGGGAGUCCUGGCAUCCUCAGAAGGAGGACUCCAAGAGGCUAAAUGACCCACCUACUGCUACAAAAUUAGCAAGAUAUAAAACCAAAAGACUACCCAGGUCUGUUCAGUCCACAGAUUCAGAGGGAUAACAGCCGAAGAAGCUCUCAGAGGGGGCAUUUACCCUGACCUCGUGCCUCACAGAAAAUAAACUGAGACCCAGAGAGGGCCCGGACUUGGUCACUCAGGGAGCUGGUGACAAAACAGGAAUGGGAUUCUUCAGCCCAUGCUUCUUCUCAUCACCCAGAGGUCUUUCCAGAGAACUGUGCAGCCCCAGACUUUUACUGAACACUCACUUUGUGUCAGGUACUAAACAAGCUACGAAUUACUUUUGUUGUUGUUAACAGAGACCUGACCCUGGUGACUUAAGCAGAGGAAGUCAUUCUCUCUCAUAAAAGAAGUCCAGAGGCAGGUAUUACAGGGCUGUUUGACAGAUGGACAAAGUCAUCAGGGAUGCAGGUCCCUGCUACUUUUCUGCAUCACUGCCUUCAACACAGAGGUUCGAUUCUAAACACCCAAGAUGGCUGCUGGAGUUCGAGCCAUCACAUCCACAUUCCAGGCACGAAAAGGAGGAAGAAACUGGAACAAAAGGGCAUGUGUGCCUGCCCUGUCUGCCCCCCUCUCUCCUUUAGGAAUCUUCCCGAAAGCCCAUCUAAGUUCCACUUAUAGCCCAUUAGCACUUGCUAGUUGCAAGAAAGGUUAAGAAAUGUCAUCUUUUACCUGGGCGCAUUGCUACCCUAAAUAAAAUUGGGGUUAUGGUAGGAA